UACGUAGGGUCCGAGCGUUGUCCGGAUUCAUUGGGCGUAAAGAGCUCGUAGGCGGCUCAGUAAGUCGGAUGUGAAAACUCAGGGCUCAACCCGGAGACGCCAUCUGAUACUGCUGUGGCUUGAGUCUGGUAGGGGAGCACGGAAUUCCUGGUGUAGCGGUGAAAUGCGCAGAUAUCAGGAGGAACACCGAUGGCGAAGGCAGCUCGCUGGGACGGUGACUGACGCUGAGGCGCGAAAGCGUGGGGAGCAAACAGG
rnacentral:rRNA from 1 species